rnacentral:lncRNA from 1 species
AUGUUGAUUAAGUAACAGUAUCCUUUAGGAAAGAAGACAAGGAAAGAAUGACACUGUAAAGACCAUGGCACCUGGAUUUGGCAGUUUAUUCAUCCACUGUUAAAUGAUUUUGUACUUGGUUCUUUACAUUGAUCUAUUAGAGAUAAGUUUAGAUUUCUUUUCUUCCUUUAUAGAUACUUUGAUAUUUUAAAUCGCCAAAUUGCUUUUGGUGUGAGGGCUCAAUUACUUAACCAGUGUUUGCUUUAAUUUCCUUACUUGCAAAAUGAGAGGGAUAACAGCAGCAUGUUAAUAUCUGUAUAAAUCCGCAAGGAAUGAAAAUACCUAGUGCAAGUUUCACUUCAGUCUUUGCUACUUACUGUGUCAAAACUGUUUAAUGUAAGGAUUUCAAGGUCUAGUGAAAGUGUAGGAAGAAGAUAUUUUAAGAGUUAGGCUGUUGGAUUUUGUUCUCAUGAAGGUCUGUUUCUUUUUGAACUUACGAUUGUGAUACUCAGACGACUAAUGGGGUUCUACACUUAAAUGACUAAUGAAGUUAUUCAUUCACAUGACUAGUGAAAUUCUUUUAGGGGUAGGAAACAGUGAUGAUAUUGAAAACAUAGCAGGAGCAGUGGAAGGAACAAGUCUGGAUGAAGUGUCUGAAUACCCAGAUUUGGUGGCACAAAUCUCCUUUGCAUAGGCUACAGAUAUCAAGUGGACAAACAAAGGAAAAACUACACGGAAGAGGAGGAUCGUUUUCUGAUCUGUAGGCUUCUUUAGCUUGGCCAUUCCAAGGCAGGUGUGUGUGAGGAAUUGCCGCAGUGUAUUCACGGCUCUCCUCGUGGUGAGUGCUCAGGGCUUUCAUUUCGUGUUGCCCAGUUCAGAAUGAGGGCUGUUUGACUUUUCUGUCUUUGUGUUUUGAUGAUGGUGGCGAUUGAACUCAGGGCUUUGUAUGUGCUAGGCCAGCACUCUGCCCCUGAGCUACUUC